rnacentral:rRNA from 1 species
CGAACAGACCUAAACUUUUCAGCCCCUACACCAAAAUUUUAUUUUAAUCCAACAUCGAGGUCGCAAUCUUUUCUAUCGAUUUGAACUCUCCAAAAAAAUUACGCUGUUAUCCCUAAGGUAAUUUACUCUUAUAAUCUCAAAAAAAGGAUCACUUACUCAUAAAUAAAUGUUUAAAUUUAAAAAAAGUUUAUUAAAUUUUUCGAUCACCCCAACCAAAUUAAUCAUCACAUAAAAAAUUAUUAAUCCUAAAAUUCCUCAAAUAAAUCUUAAUAAAACUCUAUAGGGUCUUCUCGUCUUUUAUUCUUAUUUAAGCUUUCUUACUUAAAAAUAAAAUUCUAAUAAAUUUAAAAAGAGACAGUUAUUCCCCCAUCAAACCUUUCAUACCAGCUUUCAAUUAAAAAACUAUUUAUUAUGCUACCUUUGUACGGUCAGGUUACCGCAGCCAUUUAACUACUCAUUGGGCAGGUCCGACCUUAAAUUAUAAUC